rnacentral:tRNA from 1 species
UCAAAAAUAAGCUAAAUAAGCUGAAGAGCUCAUGACUCUUUGAUGGGGUUUCCUUUUUUGA